GAACAGUUGACCAUUCCAUUGGCCGAGGACCAACUGUAGCCAAAGCACUUUCUCCUUCUGAAGGGACUUGCAUAUUGAAUUAUGCUUAAUAUUUGACACCGCCUCAACUAAGAAGCAUAGAGAUACGAAGAAGAUGGAUCCGGUGGGGCGUCAGGCGUAGAGUGAACGAAUAGGCGAAGCUAACGAAAACGAAGGAGGCCCGCAGUGGCGUUGUUGGCACGCUGGAGUGCCGGUUGGUCGUCGGAGAAAAUAAGAUGGAAGGGACGAACGAAGAAGACGAUUCCAG
rnacentral:misc_RNA from 1 species